CAAGAGGCCUCCAAGUGGUGGCAGCGGUGGUGCCUAUGGUGGAGGGAGGUAUGAAGAAGAUGAGUACAAAAAGAAGCCUAGUGCUGGUGGAUAUGGGGGUGGAAGGUAUGAGGAGGAAGAUGAUUAUAGGAAGAAGCCUAGUGCUGGUGGAUAUGGGGGUGGAGGAAGGUAUGAAGAUGAGUACAGCAAGAAGCCAAGUGGUGGUCAUGGUGGAGGGAGGUAUGAGGAAGAUGAUGGGUACAAGAAGCCUAGUGGUGGUGGAUAUGGCUAUGGGGCUUCAAGUGGUGGGGGUCAUGGAGGAAGGUACGAAGAAGAUGACUACAAGAAGAAGCCUAGUGGGCAUUCAGGGGGAAGAUAUGAAGAAGAGGAGGGGUACAAGAAGACUGGUGGCCAUAGUGGAGGGAAGUAUGGCGAGGAAGAUGACAAGAAGAAGAAGAAACAUGGUGAUGAUGAGUCAGAGGGUGGUGGUAUUGGGGAUUACCUGAAGCUGGCACAGGGUUUCAUGAACAAAAAGAAUGGGGAGGGGGAGAGUGGGGGUGGUAUGGGUGACUACUUAAAGCUUGCAGAAGGGUUCAUGAAGAAGCGGUGAUUAAUCUUUUCCCAUGGCAUGGUUCAGGAAGGACUUUCUUGUGUUUGGUUAGUCCCUUUUCCUGCUAAAGUUUACAAGUUGUGAAAUUUUCAACAGUUUCCAUCCUAGGAUGUAAUAAGAGUGUAUUUGCCCAUGUUGUCCGUGUUGUAAUGUGAAUGCUUAAUGGGCUUCUUACGAUACUGGGAAAAUAAAAGGUUGGAUGCUUUGGUGUUCAUGUUGUGUAUUAAUAUAUUGUUGCAACUUAUAAUGAAUGAGACUAUUGAGUACAUGUUGA
rnacentral:lncRNA from 1 species